rnacentral:lncRNA from 1 species
AGGAGCACAGAUUGCCACGAUAUACAGAAACACAAGCAUGAAUUAUUUUACUUGAACAUAAGUCCAUUGCAGUCUCAACAGAAAAUUGAGAAGACAUUGCCAUAUUGUUUCACAAUGUACAGUAAAUUAUAUUCUUGAAGACAGCUGACAUGACUUUACGAGAAAGACAAAGCCUGAUCUCGACAGGCCUAUCACUGCCUUGCAGUGAGCCAAAACUGGGAGGAUCUUUGAAAUGUUUUUUAAAAAAUUACUUAUUUUUUAUGAAUCAAUAUGAGACACUGGCUAAAAUGCUUUUAUCUGCCAGUCAAAGGUGCAGGGAAAUUUUGUUUUCCUAUAAAAAUGACAAGAAGAAGCACAUUAUUGUACUCCUCAGGAACUCAUUGAGCUUUGGUAAGCCUAGUUGCCUUAUUCUCUCCCAAAGUAGAAGAAGGCAACAAGUAAAUUGUAGAUCAGAUAAAUAAAUUUUAAUAAUAGAUUCUUUUCUCCUACAGUAUGCCCUGAUUAUACUUUCUCCUCCCUCUUCUCCUCUUAUCCCCUCCUCUCCUCGCCUCAAGAUCCACUCCUUUUCUGUCUCUCAUUACAAUAGAACAGACUUCUAAGAGAUAACAAACAAACAUGACAAAAUAAAUAUAAUACAAUAAACCAAAAACUCCAUAUCAAAGUUGGACACUGCAACCUAAUGGGUGGGAAAGAGUCUUAAGAGCAGGCAAAAAGACUCAGAGACCCACUUGUUCUCAUAGUCAGAAGUCCCAUAGAAAUUCUAUGCUAAUAGGUUUAAUAUAUUCAGAGGACAUGGUGCAGAAGCAUGCAAGUUUUCUGAUUACUCCAUCAGUCUCUGUGAGCUCAUACACACCUUGUCUCUGCAUUGCUAGACAAAUUAUGCUAGAGAAAACCUCUUAUGAUGACUAGAUAAUGCACAGAUCAUUAGGUAUCACAUUAUUGAUUUUUUUUUAGACCAGUCAUGUUUGAUUUUACCCCAGACUUCUAGGAUAUCUAGGCUCUGGUUAUUGGUACCACAAGCACCAUAGGACAUGGGUUCCAUCUCAAGGAGUAGGUCUUUCUUAAGUCAAAUCAGAUAACAGUUGGCUACCACAACAAUUUCUCUGCCACCAUUGCCCUAGCAUGUUUUCCCAGAAGGAUAGAAUGUAGGUCAAAGUUUUUGUGGAUGGGUUAGUAUACACAUCCUCUUUCAGUAGACACCAGAAUAUCUUCCUGCAACAAGGAGACUAUAAAGUAGGAGUGAAGUCUCCAUGUAGGCACCAGCUCAACUUCUCCAUGUUCAGUGAGUUGUGUGGAUGUUGUUCUUGGCCAUGUGGCCCACCUAUCGGUUUGCAGAGAGCAACACUUUGUCUCAGCUUCAGCCCGAGUUAUUUGGAGGUUUUCUUUGGAACCACAUGCUGAUAACUUAAUUGAAUGUGGCCUUGUCCCUCCAUUGGAAGCCUUGCCUGGUUUCAAGAGAUGGCCAGUUGAGAUUACAAGGAGUCCUUAUUAGGUUUAUCGUCAUAGAUUCUAAGAAGUUUCCACUGCACUAGGUUUCCACAGACCCCCCCCGCCCCCAUUCCAUCUAUCUUUUCCCAUACUCUAUCUCUCCAUCCCAUAUCCUCACUGCCCAGGUUCCUCCCACUCUUGUCCCUACCUUCCAAAAUCCAUCCAUAAAAAUCCAUUCUAUUUUCCCUUCUCAGGACCCCUCCUCUUUAUCUAACCUCUCUGGGACUACAAAUUAUAGCUUGGUUAUCACUACCAUAUUUGCAAGUGGGUUACUUCACUUAUAUUGUUCAUUUUCUAGUUCCAUCCAUUUGCCUACAACUUUCAUAAUAUAAAUUUUAACUGCUGAAUAAUACAGUAUUGAGUAAAUGUAGAACAUUUUGUUUGUUCAUUCUACUGAGGGAUAUCUAAGUUGUUUCCAGUUUCUGUGUAUAAAGCCACAAUGACCAUGGUUAAGCAAGUUUCCUUAUGGUAGGGUAGAGCAUCCUUUGGGUAUAUGGCCAAGAGUAUAUAGCUAGAUCUUCAGCUAGCUUGAUUCCCAAUUUUCUAAGGACCCGCCAUAUUGAUUUCUAUACAAUUUGGCUUUACAAGAUUGCACUUCUUCCAGCAAUGGAGGAGUGUCUCCUUUGCUCCACAUCACUGUCAGGAUGAGCUGCCACUUGUGUUAUUGACCUAAAGCAUUCUGUCAAGUGUAAGAUGGACUCUCAAGGAAUUAUUGAUUUGCAUUACCCUGAUGGCUAAGCAUGUUGAACAUUUCCUUGAGUGUUGUUCAGUCGUUUAGGAUGACUCUGUUGAGAAUUCUCUUUUUAGGUCUAUAUUUAUUUUUAAAUUAGAUUAUUUGAUUUUUUAGUAUCUAGAUUCUUGAGUUCUUUGUACAUUUUGGACGUUAGCCCUUUAUCAGAUGUAGAGUUGGGGAAAACCUUUACACACUCUUUCGGCUGCCAUUUUGUUAAAUGAUGGUUUUCUUCUCCUUACAAAAGCUUUUCAGUUUCAUGUCGUUUCAUUAAUUAGUUGUUGAUCUUAGUCCCUGUGCUAUCAGUGUCUUAUUCAGGACGUUGUAUCAUGUGAAAACAUGUUCAAGGCUAUCUGCCAUUUUUAAGUCUAUCAGGUUCAUUUUGUCUGGUUUUAUGUUGCGGAUUUUUAUCCAAUUGGAUUUGAGAUUUGUGUAGGGUGAUAAAUAUGUAUGUAUUUGCAUUCUUCUACAUGCAGAAAUCCAGUUAGACCGGCACUAUUUGUUAAGAUGCCAUGUUUUUUUUCCAGUGUGUAUUUCUGGUUUUUAUUUAAUCAAAAAUCAGAUGCCCAUAUGUGUUUGAAUUUAUGUCUGCACAUUAGAUUCAAUUCUAGUGAACAUUAUAUGUGUUUUUAUGUCAUUACCAUGCAUGUUUUUAACUAUAGUUCUAUAGUACUGCUUGAAAUCAGAGACACUGAUAACAUCACUGGUUCUUCUAUUGUUUAAGAUUGUUUUAGCUGGGGCU